GCACUGCUGAGGAGUCCAAUACUAGGACAAAACGGCCGUCCAGUUC
rnacentral:hammerhead_ribozyme from 1 species